CCUACGGGGGGCAGCAGUGAGGAAUAUUGGUCAAUGGACGAGAGUCUGAACCAGCCAAGUAGCGUGAAGGAUGACUGCCCUAUGGGUUGUAAACUUCUUUUAUAAGCGAGAAAUAUGAUGGUAACUUAUGAAUAAGGAUCGGCUAACUACGUGCCAGCAGCCGCGGUCAUACGUAGGAUCCGAGCAUUAUCCGGAGUGACUGGGUGUAAAGAGUUGCGUAGGUGGCAUAAUAAGUAGCUAGUGAAAUCUGGUGGCUCAACCAUUCAGACUAUUAGCUAAACUGUUAAGCUCGAGACCGUUAGGGGUAGCUGGAAUUUCUGGUGUAGGAGUGAAAUCCGUAGAUAUUAGAAGGAACACCAAUAGCGUAGGCAGGUUACUGGGACGGUUCUGACACUAAGGCACGAAAGCGUAGGGAGCAAACGGGAUUAGAUACCCGGGUAGUC
rnacentral:rRNA from 1 species